rnacentral:lncRNA from 12 species
GGGAUAGAUGGCGAUGGAUGGGUCGGGAGCGAUCCCGGGGCCGCCGAUCGCUCCCCGGGCGCGCUGCGACCGACACCUGGCGGCGGCACCGGCACUUCUCCUGCUCCCCCGAUCCCUGAAAUCAGGGGCUGCCCGUGCUGCAGGCAAGGAACUACGGAGCACAACGACGUGCUCCCGUGAGAUGCUUUGGUUCAUUAAACAAAAUCCGGCCUGUGUGAUGUGUAACUGCUGAAUCCAUGAUGAAGCUGAUUUCUG